rnacentral:lncRNA from 1 species
UUUUUUUUUUUCUUACUUAAAUAUUGCUCCCACACAAGCAAAGAGCCCCAGCUCUCCGUCCCAGAAAAGGCUGGUGGGUCUUGUUCAGUUUGGAGGAUUCAUGACAGAUACAAAUGCUAAUAAUUCUUUGGAAACAAUAGAGAAAAUACUUCAGAAUUCCCCAAGCAUUUUAAAACUCUUUCUCAUUCUAAUAUUUGCUGAAGACCGAUUAUGUGAAAUUUGAUCUCACUUAUUUCUAAAACAAGUAGCUGAAUGGCUCUUGGUAACUAGGCAGCAUUGAAAUUUGUUAACUUCCUUUCUAAUGAACCAAUAUUUGAAAAAUUAAAAUGAGAGAAAUAGUUAAGAUAGGUUCAGAUUUUUUAUUACCCCCUUACAAUUAUAUAGGCAAGGAAAUCAGCUAUCCUGCAGCAUAAUGUAACCUCAAGGGAACUGGGAUUUGAUAGGUUAUGUACAAGGGAUGAUGGGAAUUGCAAGAAGCAGGAGUUUUUCCAGUAUCCCAUGAUGAGCUGAGGUUCCUGGGAUGUUACAGAAGCAUACAAAGGAUUCAGGGGACAAGAAGAUUUUUGUUCUCCUUUGCUUAUUUUUAUGUGGCCCUUGAUUUCAGUCUCCUUUAGAAAUCAUCAGUUCUUUACUUCAACUACCCAUCAUUACUUCUCUCCAUCUGAUAACAGCCUUUACCCCUUGGGCACAGGGAUAUGACCAUGAAGCAAGUUAGAGCAACAUGUUUCUGGACAGAAUGGUUAGCAAACAAUAUGUUAUAAUAUUAGUCAAAUUGGGAUGCUCUCUGGGAAAAUUUUCAAUUGUAGUUGCUAGAGAAGUGCUCAUUUCUUCCCAGUGGGGAGCUAAAAAGAAGUGAGCCAAGAGUAGCAGAAAGUCAUGUUUUGUCUUAGAGGAGCUAAAGAUUUUAAAAGCCACAAUGUACAAACAGAAUCAUAACUGUAUCUGAAGUCCUAGUCCCAGAUGUCUCAAUGGCCAGAUGUCUCCCACUUUUUCUGUAGUUCAAUUGUAUAAGCCAAUGCAGAUCUCUUUUGUUUACUGACUGAAACAAUAACCUCAAAUAUAAAAGUGACUUCCUCUACUGCUCCAUUGUGUUUGAAUUGAGUGCUAUUUUCUCUAGUAUAUCAGCUCAGAAUGGUAUAUGGCUAUAAGUGUAAGAAGGAAGAGAGGAAGGGAGGGAGGAAGGAAGCAGAGAGGAAAAAAGGAAGAAAGUUACAUUCUUACCUCAUACAGAAAUUAAUUCAAAAUGAAUCAUAGACACAAGUGGAAGAAUGAAAACUAUAAAAACUUCUAGAAGAAAAUAUAAAUGUAAAUUUUUGUGGUUUGGAUUAAGCAAUGGUUUCAUAGAUAAAACACCAAAAAAGAUAUACGAACAUCUAAUAAGCACAUGAAAAGAUGCUCAGAAUUGUACCUCAGUGUUCAGAAAAGUAUUUUUACAAUUACCAAGAUAUGGAAGCAACCUAGCUGUCCAUCAAUAGAUGAACAGAUAAAGAAGAUGUACCCCCCCACACACAUACAUUGGAAUACUACUCAGCCAUAAAAAAGAAUGAAAAUUUUUGCCAUUUCCAACAACAUGGAUUGACUUGGAGGGCAUUAUGCUAAGCAAAAUAAUUCAGAGAAAGGCUAAUAACUACAUGAUAUCACUUACAUAUGAAAUCUAAAAUAUAAAACCAGUGAUUUUUUCUUUUUUUAAAGAAAGAGACUCAUAGAGAAAAAAACUAGUGGUUACUAGUGAGGAGAGGGAAAGCAGAUGGGCAAGGUAGGGGUAUGGAAUUAAGAGGUAAAAACAACUGUGUAUAAAAUCAAUAAAUCACAAGAAUCUAUCGUACAAUGUAGGGAAUAUAGCCAAUAUUUUGUAACUAUAAAUGGAGCAUAUCCUUUAAAAAUCAUGAAUCACAGGUGUUACACACUUGAAACUCAUAUAAUAUUGUACAUAAAUUACACCUCAAUUAAAAUCCUCAAAAUCAUUAGUCAUUAGGGAAAUGCGCAUUGAAACCACAAUGAGAUCCUCUUCAUAACCAUUAGUAUCACCAGUAUUAAUAAGAUGAAGAAUAAAUAUGUUGGUGAGGAUGUGGAGAAAUUGAAAUUUAUAUUAAAACGUCCAGAAGUGAGGGGGAGGUACAUUAGUAGUUGCCAGGUCUGGGGGUAAAGUGGAUGGGGAGAGACUGCUAAUGGGUAUGGGAUUUCUUUGGAGGAUGACGACAAAGCUCUGGAAUUAGAUAGUGGGGAUGGUUGCAACAACUCUGUGAAUAUACUAAAAACCCUGGACUUGUACAUUUUUAAGGGGUAGAUUCCAUUGUAUGUGAAUUAUAUAUCAUAAAAUUGUUAUUAGAAAAACAACAAAAUAAAUAGUUUGGACUAUAUAAAUUCCCAAAGCAAAAUUUAAGAGGGGAGGGUUUUUUUUUGUUUGUUUUUUAAAUUAAUUUCCUACAUUUUUUUUAAAUGGUGGGUUCAUAGGGGAAAAAAAAAACUGUUUAGAGCUCUGAGAAUGUGGAACAAAAUUGUCUAGAUAAAUGAUUAGCUGCUGAUCAGAUUUUUUUUUAACCACAGAAGCUACAUGGACAAAUAAAAUUUCCUGGAAAAAUUGCAAGGCAAUUUCAAAGGAUCCCAGCCCUGCAGUCCUCAUAUACAACUAGAACUAAUCUACACAAACCUGGCUUCAAAUCCUAUCACUGCCAUUUAGUCUUUAUAGACAUAAUAAAGCUGGUGUUCAACAACCUGAUUUCUCUUAAGGAGUACACCACGGGCUGUGAUAUAGUUGUGACAUCCUUUCCAUGUUAACAACUUGGACGGCCUGCAGACAGGUGGUCCCUUCCCUUCCUCUCCACUCUAUGCACAUUCCUUGCAGAAUGUAGACUCCAUCAAAGCGAAAAAAAACUUUUUAGGAGAGAAACAUGUAGGAAGUGCUCUGGUUCUCUCUACCAGAAAUCUAUUAAUGGAUGUACCUUGUGCCAUAUUGAGCAAAAUGUGUGCUUUCUCUUUUUCAGCUAAAGUUGACCAGCAUGACUAAUACUAAAGGGCUUGGUCCUUAAAUCCACUAAAGUUUAGCAUUUGGGUCAUGUGGGAGGCUGAAACACAACAGAAGCUCUCAUACAGAAAUGCCCUAGACACUACAGGAAAAGCUCCUGGAAAAGGGUACAGGGAAUCCAAAUAAGGAGUCAAUCUACUUCUACAUCUUUGUAUGCUCCUUGCUGCUACUCAUGAAGGUAGGCUGUUCUCACCUGGAGGACCAAUUAUCCUCUAUGAAUCUCAUGAUGACAUGCUAUCAACUGAAAAAGGAAGCACAGUCCACUACUGUACUUACUACAAUGGCUCAGAUAUUAGGGGAGGGGAUAGUGACACAUGUUCAUAAAUACAAAAUGAAAAGCUCCCUUUUAUUUUCUUAUGUCCAACAUAUUAGAAGAAAUUUUGCCUUUCCAGCUGCUAGCCAUCCCUCUCCAAAGGAACACUGAUUCAUUCAUUUUUUGCUUUUGCUGAGGUUGUGAGACCUAUUAUUCUGGGUCUGACAUCUCUUUUCAUUUAACUUUCCAAGAUCUACAGGACAGUAAAAAUGAAUCUAUGUAUUAUGGUGUGUUUAAGGAAACUUGGGAUUAAGAAUGGGGGAGGAGGCAAAGAGGAAAAGGGUGUAUUCCUUUGAUCCACAACUGCACAAAGAAAGGCAUGGUACAAGGCUUGGAAAAUCCUAGUUUCUUUAAAAAAAUGAAUCUGAAAUAACUCUUUUAUGCUGUAUAUUAAAGCUAGAACUGAGUUUAGCCAACCAUGGAUACUUUAUGAGAUUGGAUCUUAAUCAUAUUGAUUUAUCACUACCCCCAAAAAUAUAUCUGACCAAAGUUUCUGAGAAAUACACUCUUCUUACAAUGAUUGGAUUUGUACAGUAACUAUGUUUCAUAUCAUAUUAGUGUUAAUUUUAUAAGCUGAAUUCUAAUAUGACUGGAAGAGAUAAUUGUGGUAGUCAUAUUUCAUUAAGUUUUUAGCUAUAUAUAUGAAAAUUACUGGUAAGGGGAAAUUUUAAAAAACUUAUUUUGUAGUUGGAAGUAUUUGGUAAAAGGGUGGUUUUCAAGUCAUAGCUUAGGUAAAUGAAGGUUGAAACAUGUUCUUAAGUGUUUUCCAAGCUAGUUCCAGUCUCCCUCUCUAUAGUAGCAAUCAUAAGCUACAUGGGUUAAGGAUCCGGCAUUGCCAUGAGCUGUGGUAUAGGUUGCAGACACGGCUCAGAUCCCGCACUGCUGUGGCUCUGGCGUAGGCUGGCAGCUACAGGUCCGAUUAGACCCCUAGCCUGGGAGCCUCCAUGUGCUGUGGGAGUGGCACAAGAAAUGGCAAGAAGACCAAAAAAAAAAAAAAAAAAAAAAAAAAAAAAAAAAAACACCACAAGUACAAACUGUAACCACUAAAUAUUAAGGGGUCCUGUUCUUCUUUAACUGAGUGUGUUCCAUGGCAUGGCCCAUGAACACAGAAACGUUAAGUCAGCUCUGGGCUUUAUUCAAGUUAUUAGAAGCAUCUCAGCUGAUCUUCCACCAUAUCCUCAAAGUGACCUUUCUGUGCCUCACAUUUGAAACAACUUAUGAAAACUGUUCCAUAUGUCAAACUUCAUUUCAUUCAAUUUUCUCCUGGUUGAAAAUUGACACUAAAGAUGUUUUGUCUUUCAGAACAUUUUCCUUUGGGAGCCAAAGGCCCGAUGAUGUAUAAUCCUUCCUGAAGGUUUUAUGGCAGGGCUUCACAAAGCAAACAUUUUUUUCCUCUUAUUCUAUAUCACCCUGACAAACAGAAAUGCUGAGCCAUUUAAUUACAGAGCCUGCCUGACACAUCCAGAGAGUCAAAUAUUCCAGCAGCAUCUAGCUGAAGGGGAAAAAUGCACUGAAUUCCCCGAGUUGCUUGUCAAGACAAUGACACCAAGGAAACUAGUAAAUAAUCUGGCAGGUCAGAGGGUGGAUACUACGGUGUGCCAGAGUGGUCCCCAUGGCUCUGUGUCAGCACCAUUAGCCCUGUAGCAUCUCAUCCCAUGAUGGUAAUACAUGAUCUGAGCUUUAGGCUGAGCAGCCAGGAAAUGAUGAGAACACAGGUCAGAACGAAGGUCAAGCCACAGGCCCAUAGAUCAUCUCUUGAUCUGGGUUUUACAGAAAUGUCCAGAUUGAGAGCUUGCACUCUUAAUUCUCAAACUAACUCACAAAAAGAAUCUGCACAGAUACAACUGAAUAUUCGUCCCUCUAUAUCCAAGAUGUGACAGACAGUCCCCAGGACCAGGCACGAGUGCACUGAGAUAUUAUGUCCUAUAAUGUUUCAAAGCUCCAACACAUAAUCAAAAUAUCUUAGGUUACAUCUAUUUAACGCCCUUUCUAUCCCUUUAGAAUAGUUAAUCCCUGUGAUAAUUUCCAGUCCAUUUUAUGGCAAUAACUAAAGUAUGAAAGUCACUCUCUUGAAUGCUUCUUGUUUGCAUGAUUUAUAUUUUUCUUUCUUUCUUCUAUCAAUCAUACAGUAAAAAGAAAGAAUAAAAGUAGACCUCCUAUGAAUCAGGCACUAAUCUAAGCACUGGAUUGAGCAGUGGUGACAAGGUCACUACAUUUAAGGAAAUUACAUCCGAGAGUCAGGAGGCAAAAUAAACAUGUAAUAAGAUUAUUUUGGGGUUGUAUAUGUUCUGAAUAAAAUAGUCUACAGAGUGAUACAGAAUAGAGUGGUGGGAUGCUUUCUCAGGAUGGCCAGGGAAGUUCACGUUGAAGUGAUGAUUGUUAACUUGAGAUAUGAAGGAUGAAAAUGAUAAAAGGAGGCAGCCAAGAACUAUUUGGGUGAAGAAUGUUGCAGGAAAAAGAAAUAACAUGUGUAAACGCCCUAAGACAGAAAUGAGAGGGGAUGAGCUUUAUGGAAAGAAAGGUCAGUGAGGUCAGAAAGUAUUGAAUGAAGAGUAGAGUGGACGGAAAUGACACAGGGGAGGUUUUCAGAGGACAGAUCAUGUAAUGCAUUGGAGGCAUAUAUUUUGAAAAUGAAGAAGUAAAACUGCCUUUAAUCACAAACAGUAUGAUCCCAGUUGCAUAAUACUCCAUAAAGAUUAUACCCCAAACCUAGUAGAGCCAAUAACAAAAUUUAAGAAUAGCAUAAGGUCAGUGCAUACUGCAUUUCUACAUACUAGGAAAGAAAAAUUCAAAAGUUCGGUCAAGAUA